CCUACGGGAGGCAGCAGUGAGGAAUAUUGGUCAAUGGACGCAAGUCUGAACCAGCCAUGCCGCGUGCAGGAAGACGGCUCUAUGAGUUGUAAACUGCUUUUGUACGAGGGUAAACGCAGAUACGCGUAUCUUUCUGAAAGUAUCGUACGAAUAAGGAUCGGCUAACUUCGUGCCAGCAGCCGCGGUAAUACGGAGGAUUCAAGCGUUAUCCGGAUUUAUUGGGUUUAAAGGGUGCGUAGGCGGUCGGAUAAGUUAGAGGUGAAAUCCCGAGGCUCAACUUCGGAAUUGCCUCUGAUACUGUUCGGCUAGAGAGUAGUUGCGGUAGGCGGAAUGUAUGGUGUAGCGGUGAAAUGCUUAGAGAUCAUACAGAACACCGAUUGCGAAGGCAGCUUACCAAGCUACUUCUGACAUUGAGGCACGAAAGCGUGGGGAGCAAACAGGAUUAGAUACCCCUGUAGUC
rnacentral:rRNA from 1 species